rnacentral:rRNA from 1 species
UAGGGAAUAUUGCAUAAUGGGCGAAAGCCUGAUGCAGCAACGCCGCGUGUGCGAUGAAGGCCUUCGGGUUGUAAAGCACUUUUGACCGGGAAGAGGAAGGACGGUACCGGUCGAAUAAGCCUCGGCUAACUACGUGCCAGCAGCCGCGGUAAAACGUAGGAGGCGAGCGUUAUCCGGAUUUACUGGGUGUAAAGCGCGUGCAGGCGGUAGGCUAAGUUGGGUGUGAAAGCUCCUGGCUCAACUAGGAGAGGUCGCUCAAGACUGGCCAACUGGAGAGCAGUAAGGGAAGGUGGAAUUCCGGGUGUAGUGGUGAAAUGCGUAGAUAUCCGGAGAAACACCAGUGGCGAAAGCGGCCUUCUGGACUGCAUCUGACGCUCAGACGCGAAAGCUAGGGGAGCAAACGG